CCUGGCUCAGAUUGAACGCUGGCGGCAUGCCUUACACAUGCAAGUCGAACGCGAAAGUAGGGGCAACCCUGCGAGUAGAGUGGCGAACGGGUGAGUAACACAUCGGAACGUACCCAGGAGUGGGGGACAACCUCGAGAAAUCGAGGCUAAUACCGCAUACGUCCUGAGGGAGAAAGCGGGGGAUCUGCAAGGACCUCGCGCUCAUGGAGCGGCCGAUGUCGGAUUAGCUAGUUGGCGGGGUAAAAGCCCACCAAGGCUACGAUCCGUAGCUGGUUUGAGAGAACGACCAGCCACACUGGGACUGAGACACGGCCCAGACUCCUACGGGAGGCAGCAGUGGGGAAUUUUGGACAAUGGGGGCAACCCUGAUCCAGCCAUGCCGCGUGAGUGAAGAAGGCCUUCGGGUUGUAAAGCUCUUUCGGCCGGAACGAAAUCGCGUA
rnacentral:rRNA from 1 species